rnacentral:rRNA from 1 species
UACAGAGGGUGCGAGCGUUAAUCGGAAUUACUGGGCGUAAAGCGCGCGUAGGCGGCUUUGCAAGUCGGGUGUGAAAUCCCCAGGCUUAACCUGGGAACUGCAUUCGAGACUGCAUUGCUAGAGUAUGGGAGAGGGAAGUGGAAUUUCCGGUGUAGCGGUGAAAUGCGUAGAUAUCGGGAGGAACAUCUGUGGCGAAGGCGGCCAUCUGGACCAGCACUGACACUGAGGCACGAAAGCGUGGGGAGCAAACAGG